rnacentral:lncRNA from 1 species
GGUUUGUUUUAGGACAGUGCUCUCAAUGAAGCCCAGCCUGCCUCAAACUCAAGAGUCCCACCCCUCACUUUGAGAUGUCUGCUGCUAUCAUUUGACUUGUUAGUUCCUUGGUUUCACACAAGGUUUUCAGUGGAAGAUGACCCCAAGUUGCUAAUGACCCCUCUGCCUCUACCUCCCAGGUGCUGGGGUUACAGACCUGUGUUCAGGAAGGCUUGAACACUCCUAUAGCCAAAAGUUUAUGACAACAUGGUUGGAAGGAUAGUUAUUUUGUAGAUAUUUCCCCUUAAUCUUUUUUUAAGAAAUUUUUUUUUCUUUGAUUCAUUUUAUUUAUUAUAUGUAAGUACACUGUAGCUGUCUUCAGACACUCCAGAAGAGGGCAUCAGAUUUCGUUACAGAUGGUUGUGAGCCACCAUGUGGUUGCUGGGAUUUGAACUCGGGACCUUUGGAAGAGCAGUCGGAGCUCUUAACCACUGAGCCAUCUCACCAGCCCUUUUUAAGAAUUUUGUUGUUGUUGUUUUUAAGAUUUAUUAACCUAAUUUAUGUAUGUGAGUGCACAGUAGCUGUCUUCAGACACACCAGAAGAGGGCAUCAGAUCCUAUUACAGACGGUUGUGAGCCACCAUGUGUUUACUGGGAUUUGAACUCGGGACCUCUGGAAAAGCAGCCAGUGCUCUUAACCACUGAGUUACCUCUCCAGCCCCCUCCUUUUAAUCUUUUUAAUAAUCUUGCAUUAAAGGAAAUUGAAAUAAUCAGCAAAUGGUUGCUGCUAUUUGUGCUAGCCAUGAGGAAUCCAGUACUUAAAGAAAAAUAUGAUUAUAUUUUUGAUAUAUAUGAUCAUAUAGUUCCAAGUAUUUGAUUAGCACUCAGGAAAAUAACGGUGAUGUGUGUUAAGACAUUUCCAGCGGUGGGCUGGCAAGAUGGCUCAGUGGUUAAGAGCACUGACUGCUCUUCCGAAGGUUCUGAGUUCAAAUCCCAGCAGCCACAUGGUGGCUCACAACCAUCUGUAGUGGGAUCUGACUCCCUUUUCUGGUGCAUCUGAAGAUUGCUACAGUGUACUUAUUUAUUUAUAAUAAAUAAAUUUAUGUAUAAUAAUAAAUAAAUCUUUAAAAAAAAAGACAUUUCCAGCAUAAGAACCAUGUGUCUCUUUACAUGACAAGGGCAAAAUUUAAACCAGCUUUGUUUACAGCAAGUCUACUUUGUAUAUUAGAAGAGUUUUAUAAAAAACAGACUCAAGAAUAAGAAAUUGGCCAGGUGGUGGUGUCCCACACCUUAAAUCCCAACACUCAGGAGGCAGAGGCAGGCAGAAUGUUUGUGGCCAGCCUGGUCUACAAAGUAAGUUCCAAGAUAGCUAGGGCUACAUAGAGAAACAUUGUUUGGAAAACCACACACACAAUAAAAUUUGCUGAAGGCUGGAGAGAGAUAAUUCAGUGGUUAAGAGUAUUUGCUGUUUUUCCAGGAGCCUGAAUUCAAUUCCCAGCAUCCUCACGGAGGAGGCUCACAGCUGCCUGAAACUCCAGUUCUAGGGCAUCUGAUGCCUCUUUCUGGUAUCCACAAGCACCAGGGACAUGUAGGCAAAACACAUAGAAAAAAUAUGACGUAAUUUUAAAUAAUUAGUUGAACCAGGCAUAGUGGUUGUAUUCUCAGCAUUAUGGCUGUAAUCUGAGGCCGGAGGGUUGCUGCAAAUUCGAAGUCACCUGGGCUAUGCUAUAAAUCAUAGAGCAGCCUGGGAUACACAGUGAGGAGGCACACGUCUGGGAGUGCCUUACAGAGUGAGCUGGAAAACAGCCUGGAUACUAUAUGAGAUCCUGGCAAAGAGAAGG